UCGAGGAUCUUCGGCAAUGGGCGCAAGCCUGACCGAGCGACGCCGCGUGAGCGAUGAAGGCCUUCGGGUCGUAAAGCUCUGUCGCGGGGGAGAAAAGGGUUAAACCUUGAUCGACCCCGGGAGGAAGCACGGGCUAAGUUCGUGCCAGCAGCCGCGGUAAGACGAACCGUGCGAACGUUAUUCGGAAUCACUGGGCUUAAAGGGCGCGUAGGCGGGUCGGUAAGUCAGGGGUGAAAUCCCACGGCCCAACCGUGGAAGUGCCUCUGAUACUGCCGGCCUCGAGGGGGAUAGGGGCGUGCGGAACUCAGGGUGGAGCGGUGAAAUGCGUAGAUAUCCUGAGGAACACCGGUGGCGAAAGCGGCGCGCUGGAUCCCUUCUGACGCUGAGGCGCGAAAGCCAGGGGAGCAAACGGGAUUAGAUACCCCCGUAGUCC
rnacentral:rRNA from 1 species